UACGGAGGGUGCGAGCGUUGUCCGGAAUUAUUGGGCGUAAAGAGCUCGUAGGCGGUCUGUCGCGUCUGCUGUGAAAACUCAGGGCUUAACCCUGAGCUUGCAGUGGGUACGGGGCAGACUAGAGUGCGGUAGGGGGAGACUGGAAUUCCUGGUGUAGCGGUGAAAUGCGCAGAUAUCAGGAGGGAACACCCGGGUGGGCGAAAGGCG
rnacentral:rRNA from 1 species